rnacentral:lncRNA from 1 species
GUCAACCGAUAUAUUGUAAAGAUCUGGUAUCCGUUCAAUUUGAAGGUGGAUAAUUCCCCUGGUCACUGGCCUUGUUUGCUAGCGGGUAAGAUGGGUCGGUGGAGGGUGGUGAUGAGUUUGAGAGGAGAGUAUGGAGGAGGAGUUUCAGAUCUGAGGUGGAAUCGGAGAAGUGAGGCCGUACGGUGGAGGAGGGGAUUAGUGAUGAAUUUGGGAGGGGGUUUGAGGGAGGGAUUUUCAGAGGUGGAAUCGGAGAAGUGAGGCGUCAGUACGGUGGAGGGGGAUCGUAUUGAAUUUGGGAGGAGAGUUUUGAGUUGCGAGUGUGAGAGCGGUGAAUCGGGC